UGGCAUUAUUGAUCCCUUUGGCUUGUACUUGUAUGGUCUUGUUCUUAUAGAGAAAGGCAAUCAGAACCUUGCUCGUACAGUUCUUAUGGAAUCUGUGAAUAGCUAUCCAUGGAAUUGGAGUGCUUGGUCAGAGCUGCAGUCUCUGUGCACUACAAUUGAGAUAUUGAAUAGUCUUACCCUUCAUCCAAUGGUUACUAAGGG
rnacentral:misc_RNA from 1 species